rfam:Cajanus cajan Scaffold133554_1, whole genome shotgun sequence.
GCAACCUAGAGAAGUAAGCGACGAAAUGCUUUGGGGAGUUGAAAAUAAGCAUAGGUCCGGGGAUCCUCGAUAUAGGUUAACCUUUCGAACUACUGUUGAAUUCAUGGGUAGGCAAAAGACAACCUAGUGAACUAAAACAUCUUAGUAGCUAGAGGAAAAGAAAGUGUAC